GAUUAACGCUGGCGGCAUGCCUAACACAUGCAAGUCGAACGGUUUAUGGAGCUUGCUUCAUAGAUAGUGGCGGACGGGUGAGUAAUAUGUAGGAAUCUGCCUUGAGGAGGGGGAUAACUUGGGGAAACUCAAGCUAAUACCGCGUAAGACGGAGACGAGAAAGCAGGGGACCGAAAGUCCUUGCGCCUCAAUAUGAGCCUACAUCGGAUUAGAUAGUUGGUGGGGUAAAGGCCUACCAAGGCGAUGAUCCGUAGCUGGUCUGAGAGGAUGACCAGCCACACUGGGACUGAGACACGGCCCAGACUCCUACGGGAGGCAGCAGUGGGGAAUAUUGGACAAUGGGGGAAACCCUGAUCCAGCAAUGCCGCGUGUGUGAAGAAGGCCUUCGGGUUGUAAAGCACUUUCAGCGGGGAAGAAGGAUGUAUGGUUAAUACCCAUGCAUUUUGACGUUAACCACAGAAGAAGCACCGGCUAACUCUGUGCCAGCCGCCGCCGUAA
rnacentral:rRNA from 1 species